rnacentral:rRNA from 1 species
UACGUAGGGCGCAAGCGUUGUCCGGAAUUAUUGGGCGUAAAGAGCUCGUAGGCGGUUUGUCGCGUCUGCUGUGAAAACUCGAGGCUCAACCUCGGGCUUGCAGUGGGUACGGGCAGACUAGAGUGCGGUAGGGGUGACUGGAAUUCCUGGUGUAGCGGUGGAAUGCGCAGAUAUCAGGAGGAACACCGAUGGCGAAGGCAGGUCACUGGGCCGCAACUGACGCUGAGGAGCGAAAGCGUGGGGAGCAAACAGG